rnacentral:rRNA from 1 species
GAUGAACGCUAGCGGCAGGCUUAAUACAUGCAAGUCGAGGGGUAACAGGUCCUUCGGGAGUGCUGACGACCGGCAAACGGUGAGUAACGCGUAUGCAAUCUACCUCUAACAGGGCGACAACUUCGGGAAACUGGAGCUAAUUCCCCAUAAAACUAGCGAAAUCGCAUGGUUUGCAAUUAAAGUUCCAACGGUUAGAGAUGAGCGUGCGUUCGAUUAGAUAGUUGGCGGGGUAACGGCCCACCAAGUCGACGAUCGAUAGCUGAUGUGAGAGCAUGAUCAGCCACACGGGCACUGAGACACGGG